AGAAGUAUUUCACCGAAGUGAGCCUUCAUUGAUACUGAAUCGCCUUAGAGUUUAACUCUCUAUACUUCUA
rnacentral:tRNA from 1 species